UUGAUCCUGGCUCAGAAUCAACGCUGGCGGCGUGCCUCAGACAUGCAAGUCGAACGAUUAAAGCCCUCUUCGGAGGGUGUAUAGAGUGGCGCACGGGUGUGUAACACGUAAGUAAUCUACCCUCGAGUGGGGAAUAACAGUCGGAAACGUCUGCUAAUACCGCAUAAUGCAGCGGCACCGCAAGGUGACAGUUGUUAAAUAUUUAUUGCUUGAGGAGGAGCUUGCGGCAGAUUAGCUAGUUGGUAAGGUUAUGGCUUACCAAGGCGACGAUCUGUAGCCGGUCUAAGAGGACGGUCGGUUACACUGACACUGAAUAACGGGUCAGACUCCUACGGGAGGCAGCAGUCGGUAAUUUUGGGCAAUGGGCGAAAGCCUGACCCAGCAACGCCGCGUGAAGGAUGAAGUAUUUCGGUAUGUAAACUUCGUAAGAAUAGGAAGAAUAAAUGACGUUACUAUUUGUAAGGUCCGGCUAACUACGUGCCAGCAGCCGCGGUAAUAAUGU
rnacentral:rRNA from 1 species